AGCAGCCGCGGUAAUUCCAGCUCCAAUAGCGUAUAUUAAAGUUGUUGCAGUUAAAAAGCUCGUAGUUGAAUUUCGGGGUCAGUAGGUCGGUCGUGCCACUGGUAUGAACUGGUUUUACUGAUUCCUCCCUCUUGAAGAACUGUAAUGCCAUUAAUUUGGUGUUGCAGGGAAUCAGGACUGUUACUUUGAAAAAAUUAGAGUGUUUAAAGCAGGCUUUAGCUUGAAUACAUUAGCAUGGAAUAAUGAAAUAGGACGUUUGAUCCUAUUUUGUUGGUUUCUAGGAUUGACGUAAUGAUUAAUAGGGAUAGUUGGGGGCAUUAGUAUUCAAUUGUCAGAGGUGAAAUUCUUGGAUUUAUUGAAGACUAACUACUGCGAAAGCAUUUGCCAAGGAUGUUUUCAUUAAUCAAGAACGAAAGUUAGGGGAUCGAAGACGAUCAGAUACCGUCGUAGUCUUAACCAUAAACUAUGCCGACUAGGGGUCGGAUGAUGUUAAUUUUUUAAUGUACUCAUUCGGCGCCUU
rnacentral:rRNA from 1 species